GUUGAAGACGACGACGUUGAUAGGUCGGGUGUGUAAGCGCAGCGAUGCGUUGAGCUAACCGAUACUAAUGAACCGUGAGGCUUAACCUU
rnacentral:rRNA from 1 species